rnacentral:rRNA from 1 species
AUGGCGCCCAAGCAUCUUCCUCCGGAGUCCCUCCCACGGCGCAUCCCCAUCGGCGGCUUCCACCCGAUCACGAUCCAUGUCCGCGUCAACAGGGACGGCACCGAUAGGAUUUUCCAAUUUGAGUUCGUGGUGGCGGACGGGAAGCAGGCUUCACCGCCCGCGCUGCAAAGGCCGCAAGAACCUGCUGCAGAUGUGUCGUCGCUCAAGCAGUCGCCGAGCGCUACAACACUGGAGGAGAAAUCGCCCGCCGUUUCCUCCGGGCAGCCGGAUCAGGACACUGUUAUGGCCUCGGCACCAUCACCUCCUGGGUCAGGCAUUUGGGAACGGCUGCGACGUGACUGA